UCCCAUUUAAGUUUGUUGCUGUUAUUAUACGAUAUCUAAAAGGUUUUGCUCAGUGUUACAGAUUCUUGGAGUGGUACCCAUUCAUAGAGAGACUUUUAACAGUCAAGAUCAAGAUGAUACGGGCUAUAAUUAAAGCUCUGUUGAUGAUGUCAUUCAUUGCAAUUGUUGUGGAUUGUCUUCCUCUUGACGCAAGCGGUGACGUCAUAAUGAUGCGCGCGAAACGUGAUUUACAGGCGAGGUUUUACAGCAUGAUGUGUCAUAUGACGUCACUGAUGUGUAAUCCGCAACAAGAAAAAUAAGGAACUGAAUGACGUCGUUGUGUCUUCGAAAAUUACGUGUAAAUUUUAUUUUGUUUCAAAAUAAACACGCCAUACCUCA